ACUUAAGCCCCAAACCCCUCCUUCUCGUCACAUGCGCUAAGCCGCCUUCCUCACUACCAUGGCGUCGUCCGGCGUCCUUCGGGAACGCUCAGGAACACUUCACAAGCUGCUCGCUGGCCUCAUGUUUCAUCGCUCCAUGGGAGGCGGCCCGCGGACCUUCCCCGGUGGCCUCAACAAGUGGCAAUACAAGCGGAUGCACGAGAAGAUGGCCAUGGAUAAGGAACGCCGCCUCCUCGGGCAGGAGAAGCAGAUCUAUCAGGCCCGUCUCCGCUCCGAGAUACGCGCUAAGCGCGCCGGGAAAUCGUCCAGCGACCUUGCUGACUCGGGCGCCGCCAUGACAUCCAAAGCGCAAGUGAAAGCCCUCGCCGACCGGUUCAUGAAGGAGGGAGCUGAAGACCUCUGGAACGAGGACGAUGGCCCUAUCCGCUCCCGUACUCGUCAGUCCCGUGCUGUGAAUUCCCUACCGCCUCAUGAUUUGAGGAAGCUCAUGGCCGGGCGGAAAAAUCUGAUAGAGAGUCAGGUCGGUCGGGUUGAUACUUUUGGUCAGCGAAGAGAGUAUUCGACGAUUUCCAAAAGGGGGUCCGGGAUGAGAUCGAAGACGAGGUGGAGGAGGAACUCAUCAAGCGAGGAGGACUCGGAAUCUGAGGAGGGGGUUAAGGCAUUUCGAGGUACAAAUAUGGGUACUCGGACUGGCUUACAGAUGUUUCCAAGAUUGAACAUUGCAAAUGAGGGGGAAUCAGAAGAAGAAUCAGAUAUGAUAACUGGCGCUAGUUCAAGAAUUAGGUUUUCAAACAAGGCUGCUUUGAGGAACUUUGAUACAAAAGCUCCAAAGAGGUUGCCUAAGAGCAUGGUAGGACAUGAUGAUCUUUCUAAUGAGAUCCAAGAAAUACGCAACGAGUUGCGAGCGAAGAAGGCUGUUGUAAAUGUAACAACACAUGCCAAUGCGGACCACGAAACAAUUAUAACUAACAAAAGAUUUGCUGAUUCUGGUAUCUCUCCACUGACAAUCAAGGCACUUACUGAUGCUCGAUAUAUACAAAUGACUGUUGUCCAAGAUGCAGCACUUCCAGUCUGUCUUGAUGGUAAAGAUGCUCUAGUGAAAGCAAAAACAGGGACAGGCAAAAGUGUUGCCUUUCUGAUUCCUGCAAUUGAAACAGUCAUCAAGGCAAUGCAUGGUAACAUGAACCAACGCAUACCUCAAACUCAUGCACUUAUCCUUUGUCCCACAAGGGAGCUUGCCAUUCAAGUUGCAGCUGAGGCAAAUGCUUUAUUAAGACACCACGAUGGAAUUGGUGUUCAAACACUUAUUGGAGGCGUUAGAUUUAAGAUGGAUCAGAAGCGGCUUGAAUCAAAUCCUUGCCAGAUUAUUGUAGCAACCCCUGGCAGGCUACUGGAUCACAUAGAAAACAGAUCUGGUUUUUCUAUACGUUUGAUGGGUUUGAAAAUGCUUGUACUUGAUGAAGCUGAUCACUUGUUAGACUUAGGAUUUCGGAAGGACAUAGAAAAGAUUGUUGACUCCGUGCCACGCCAGCGUCAGUCCCUAUUGUUUUCUGCUACUAUUCCUAAAGAGGUUCGGCGGGUAUCACAGCUUGUCCUGAAGAGGGAUCAUAUCUUUGUUGAUACAGUUGGCUUGGGUGGUGUGGAAACACAUGAAAAGGUUCUGCAGUCAUAUAUUAUUGCACCACAUCAGGUGCAUUUUCACUUGGUUUAUCAUAUUUUGAAGGAGCACUUGCAGCAAGAGUCUGAUUACAAGGUUAUUGUGUUUUGCACAACUGCUAUGGUUACAGCUUUUCUGUAUGUUAUUCUUCGAGACUUGAAGAUGAAUGUCCGGGAAAUACAUUCUAGAAAACCACAACUUUAUCGAACCCGUAUCUCUGAUGAGUUUCGUGAAUCAAAGUGCAUAAUUCUUGUGACUUCAGACGUUUCUGCUCGUGGGAUGGAUUAUCCAGAUGUCACUUUGGUCAUUCAGGUUGGCAUUCCUCCUGAUCGAGAACAAUACAUACAUCGGCUCGGAAGGACAGGACGUGAAGGCAAAAGUGGGAAGGGCAUUUUGGUACUUGCACCGUGGGAAGCAUAUUUUAUGGAUCAGAUAAAAGAUCUCCCAAUUCAGAAGUGUCACCUUCCAGAUCUUGAUCCAGUCACAAGACAAAAGGUUGAAGAUUCCAUUGGAAAAGUCGAUUCAAGCAUUAAGGAAGGAGCAUAUCAUGCAUGGCUUGGAUAUUACAAUUCCAUUAGAGAUAUAGGAAGAGACAAAACUACGCUGGCUGAAUUGGCAAACCAAUUUUGUCACUCGAUUGGUUUGGAGGAAACCCCAGCACUUUUCAGGAAGACAGCUUUGAAAAUGGGACUGAAGGAUAUUCCUGGUAUUCGAAUUCGCAAGUAAUUUAACAAAAGCAACAAUCCACUUUCACUUUGGAGCUUCGAGCUUCUUCCAACCUAGCAGCAAGCCCUGCGCCUACAUGUGACGAGCAACAAACUAGACGAAUAAUGCAGAUGAAUGUGACUGCCUUUGUGUAGCGAGUAAUCCUUAUUUGCAACGAGUUCGGACAGUAUGCAACAACCCAUGCAGCCUGCGCGAUUAUUUAAUGAAUUCUUGGAUUCUAUUGCUCGUCAAAAUUCUGUUAUAGCUAGCUCUAGGUCAAGUGGGUUAUAUUUUUAUAACUAGAAUUUACAAUUAAAAAAAAGUUAAGACUGUAUAUGUAAUAUGUAUAAGUUAAAUACUUUCAUUUUUGUUACA